GGUUUCGUGUGGCUCAGGUGGUAAAGCAUUGCUCUAGCAAUGCAAAGGUCGUGGGUUCAAAUCCCAGGGAAAGCA